GCUCACCACACAGGAGGAGAGUGGGGAUGGGAAGGGUUGAGUCACGGGGAAGGAAUGAACAACAGCCCGUCAGGAAACACCCUGUGGCAGAUUUACAUGACUGAGGAAUCAUGUUCUCGGAGCAUCAUGAGGUACAUCUCAGGAGCAAAUGUCAAGUGGGUGUUGUAUGGAACUGAGAGAGACCAAUCUCAAGAGAACAUCCGCCUUCAAUAAGUGGAACUCCAGAUUACACAAAGCUGCAGGCAUAAAAGCAGCUGCAAAAGCAAGUUCACUCUGAAAAUGAAGCAAUUUUCUCUAGAAAAAGGAACAUGAGAGUUAAAGUAAGGACUAAACUGAAAUCAUCGUACUUUUAGAAAAUGUACUUUAUAUCUAACAGUAUUUGCAGUCAAAUUAAAUCUGUGAUGUGGGUUAUAGUUUUUAAACUUUCUAUUUCCUUUUCCUGGAGUUUGCAUAUUUAUAUCAAAAAGCCAUCCCAAAUAUGCACUCUGCUCCUGAGAAUUAUGGUCUACCAAAUAAGUUUGAAUUUCUGAGAACUAUGAUCCAAUGAAUAAGCUUGAAUUUCUUUGUAUAUUCAAGCUAUUCUUUUAAGAACAUCUAAGCAGGAUGUUUUUUCAGAGAUGUAACUCAAAUCCAAGGGGCUGGAGUAUUUGACUUAUAGUAAAAGAGCCAGAACCAGGUCUUGUUUUGUAAUACAUGUACAGAGUGCA